rnacentral:rRNA from 1 species
UAAGGAAUAUUGGUCAAUGGGCGCAAGCCUGAACCAGCCAUGCCGCGUGCAGGAUGACGGCCCUAUGGGUUGUAAACUGCUUGUAUACGGGAAAAAACCCUCGAUCGUGAAUCGGGGCUGAUGGUACCGUAAGAAUAAGGAUCGGCUAACUCCGUG